ACUUAAAUUGAAGAGUUUGAUCAUGGCUCAGAUUGAACGCUGGCGGCAGGCCUAACACAUGCAAGUCGAGCGGCAGCGGGAAAGUAGCUUKCUACUUUUGCCGGCGAGCGGCGGACGGGUGAGUAAUGCCUGGGGAUCUGCCCAGUCGAGGGGGAUAACAGUUGGAAACGACUGCUAAUACC
rnacentral:rRNA from 1 species